UUUCCUUUUAUCUUCAGCCGCACAUACACAGAGUUCAUCUCCUCCAUGUAUCUUUCAAACAAACCCUAAUGCCCCCAUUUGUGUGAUCAACCGUUCUCAACCUUUCCCUCCCAAAUACACUUUCAUCUCUACAACCAUAUCAACCUAUCCAUCCUCCCUGUUUGCACUCAUGAAUCCACAGUCGGACCUCCAUCCUCCUCCUCCCUCAACAUCACAAAUCCCUUAUAUCAACACCACACCCUCACAACUGAAGAAUGAGAUGAGAGACAGAACGAAGAAAUAGAGAGAGAGAUAUCGAAGACGAAGGACGACGGCGGCAGCCCGCCAUACGUGGCGGCGGCAGCGGUGGCGUGUUGGUUCCGACGAGUUCCGCCGCACACCGAUGACAUGAAGUGGUCCGACAACUCCGGUAAACCCUCACUCGUCACGUCUCUUCUUUUCCUUUUUAUCUUUUUGGAAGAACUGAUGAUGUUUUUGUUGCUGCUAUGAUGAUUGAUGAUGAUGGUGCUGGUGGCCGAACACCACUGCCGACGGCCGCUAACGGCUGUGGUGGUGGUGGUGGAAGGUUAUUAUUGAUUAAGAUGUGUUACAGGAUUCGAGUGUUUGGGUUUAAGAUUCGGGUCUCAGAUUAGACACGGGUCAGCUUUGGAUCCGAGAGCUUUGGUUCGACUAGAUUCGGGUUUUAUUUUCGGGUCCUUUUGGUUGGGUCAACAGAAGUCAAAUCUGGUCAACUGUCGGAUUAGCGGAUCAUUCACAAGACUUGGGUGACAUCGGUGUUCCUUCCUCCGUUAAGUAGGUGUUCAAGGCUUUGGUAGAAUUUAGGUGAAUCGGUGUUCCAUCCUCCUAAUCUCAUACACUCGUCAACACUUGGAUAAUCGGAAGACUUAGCAAUUAUAAUAAAAUUGUUUGCGGGUCAGCUCAGUCCACAUGCGUCGGAACAUCCUCUCGCGGCUUAUGGGUAACAACCUUGGUGGUUCAAGCAUUCAACAACUGCAUCAACUAGAGAAACAGCUGACUGAUGGCUUAGUUUUAAUCAAAGAAAAGAAGUUUUUGAUUUAUCUAUAAACUUUUUGGGAAAUUUAUUAGUUUGAGAAUGAUAAUGUGGAACCUGAGUUCAGGAUGCUAUGGUGCUUGAGGAGAUUGAAUGUUCAAAUCGCAAGGAACGAGAACUUGCUUAUGAAAACGAUGUUCUUCAAGUUGAGUUACAGACUUUGGCAUGUAUGCAUAAGAGAUGGUGUCAAAGAAGAGACUAUAUUACGGAGGACUUGACGGUUUCCAUGCCCCUGUGGUACCUAAAGCUCCAAGAUCCUUAAGGAGGAAUUCAGACAAGAAAUCAUCAGCUGGUAGCGAACUUUGCCCCUUUGAGUUAUAGGCAGCUGUAGCCGGCAAGUUAUUACAAGAGAGCGAAAGUUCCGUUUCCAGCGCUGGUCCAAACCCUCUAAUUUAGCGUUAAAGAAGGGAGCUGGAUUACGCUUCGGUUAUGGCAGAACUUCUGUUGUUCAAUCACUCGAUUCCGAUUCCACCAUUGAUAUUGAUAAUUCGCUGGUUCCGGUUCUAGCUUCUCUUUCAGUUUCAUCUGUAUCAUCUCCUGUAGUUGUUUCCGAAGUAAAACUUGAAUUAGAAGAAGAAAAACCGCAAAAUCGAGUUACUGAAUCUGAAAUUAGGUCUGAAAUUAAAGUGGUGGCAUCAGAAACCGAAGAUCUCAAAGGAGGGAUCGAGAUAAACGAGAAAUUCUUUAUCAGACAUAUAGAUGGAACCCCAAUUAGUUCAGAAGCCGAAAAACAACGAGUGAUCAUGUGUUUAAAAUCUGCCAUUGAAAGAAGAGCAUCCGAGGGUGUGCGGCUUGAACUUUGUAAACCCGCCAACCCGGGCUAUUAGCCGAAGUGACACGAACGUUUAGGGAAAACGUUAUGAAUGUCACACAAGCAGAGAUAUCUACAAAUAUGGGCAUGGCUCUGAACAUUUUCUAUGUAACAGACGCGAUUGGAAACCCGGUGGAUUCGAAAGUCAUAGAUUCGGUUAUGGACAAAAUCGGUCCGGGUUACUUGAAAGUUAAGGAACUACCAUUGAUGUAUCAUAAAAAGGCUGAACACAGUACCGAUUAUAGCAGUACUGUACUGGUUCUUUACCAGCAGUGUUAAAAUACCGAAACCGAAAUCUCUAAAAAUGAUAACCAGUACCGAUACCACGGUAUUUGUUCGGUCAGUAUCAGUUCGGUAAUAGUAUUUGUUAAAAGUCGCUCACCUCUAACUGUAUUACAGCUGGCUGACAUCAUCCUGCAGGCCAUAAUCCCUAAUUUUACGCCAUUUUUUAAUGAAUUUUAUAAUAAUAUGAAACGCAUUGACACUAACGGCGUUAGCUUUAACGGUGUUGUAGCGAGAAAGAAGACCUGCAAACCGUGGCGGUUGCAAAGUGAUUUGAGUUAAUUUGCUGCGAAUUCCAGCUUGAAAUCUAUUUGUUUCGAUCAGUCUUGACAGGUUAUUGUUCGGUGAUUUCAGUACGUGAUUCGGAGUGUGUUUUGAUAUUUUCAGAUUUGAAUCUGAAUCUGUUUGUUAGAGGUUGACAAUUUUUGUUGUGUAGAAGGUUGGCAUUUGGCUGGGAGUCUAAGCAACGACUCGAGUGAUGAUUGUGUAUGGCUGAAAUAAAAAUAGUGACUGCAGUUUCGAGUUAAUUUUCAGUUUAUAGUAUAAAGAAAAAAACAAGUAAAACACUGUGUGCAGUAUCGAUUUACUGCUGUUGGAUUAGGUUGUUGUUUUGAAGAAACGUUUUGUGUGUAGGCUUUUAGGGUUAAUAAUCUAAUCUAUAGUUGCAUUACCAGCUGUCUUGGUUAGUAUUACCUAGCUUUAAUAAAUAAUGGAUCCAUAACGGGAAUGUGCUUGCCUUUCAUCAACUAUAUCUGCACGUCUACAUUCGAACUAUAUUUAGUCUUUUAACUUUAUGGUUUGAAAUUUUCAGGCAUUCACAAGAUAUGUCCGACAAAGAGGAGCAAAGACAGUACGAUGGCGGAGUUGCCAGAUGUGAAGAACCGUCGGUUUCGUCUGAUGGAAACUCACAACAGUUGAGUAGAGAACGCGUUAAGCUUUUGGCUAACUCGCCGGGCGAUUGUGAAACGGCGUCGUUUAAGUGUUUCUCCGUUUCCGUUUCCUAUUCUGAAGAAGAAAGUUAGACCUAGCAUCGGUAAACACUCCGAUAAAGAAGGUCAAUGGAGUUCUUCACUUUAAAAAGUAAAUCGAGUCAUGACUCAGCGGUUUCUGACCGAGUUAGCUUGUCGAUUAGUAGAUUACUGAAACAAUUAUUCACAAUUAUUUUCAAAACUUCAGAAAAAGUCAAACGACACCUUCAUCGACGGCAACCAGCCACAAACGCCUCCGAGAACAGAGUCCGAAGACAUCUGUCAUCUCUUCAGCCACAUCAGUACAGUUGAUUAUAUCGGUAAAACCCUAAAACCUUCAAUACAGUUGAUUUUUGUUUGUUUUAGUUGUUGAUUGACUGUUUGUGAUUGAUUUAAUUUGUUGAAUUGAUUUGAUUUUGAUGGAGGAUCCUGUGGAGGAGUUGAAGAGGAGCAAAGACAGUAUGAUGGAGGAGUUGCCAGAUAUGAAGAAUCGUCGGUUUCGUCUGACGGAAACUCACAACAGUUGAGUAGAGAACGCGUUAAGCUUUUGGCUAACCCGUCGGACGAUUGUGAAACGACGUCAUUUAAGUGUUUCUCCGUUUCUGAUUUGAAGAAGAAAGUUAGAGCUAGCAUCGGUAAUGGAUUCUUGUGAGACUCGGGUCGAAUAUCGAGCAAGAGACUGCCACCCGAAGAAGAUUAUAGUGUUGGGGAUUCUGCUACAGAGUCAUCGUUAAAAAUAGUGUUUUGUGGAGAAAAAGUGGUUGAAACCACUGUUGGAUUAAAACGGUGGUUUCAAACCACUGUUGGGUUAAAACGGUGGUUUCAAACCACUGUUGAGUUAAAACAAUUGGGUUAAACGGUGGUUUGAAACCACUGUUGAGUUAAAACAGUGGUUUCAAACCAACAUUUCAACCCAACAGUGGUUUCAACCACUAUUUCUCCACAAAAACACCGUUUUAAUGAUAACUCUUUAGCAGAUUCUCCAACACUAUAAUCUUCUUCGGAUAAACUUCGACCAACAGUGGUUUCAAACCACCGUUUUAAAUUAUAAAUUAUCCAUUACAUCUACAAUACGUUAUCUAAAGUAUUUGAUAAAAAGGUUUAUUGUGUUUACUGUUUAGGGAUUCUACCUAAUUAUAGAUAAUUAUUAUUUA